GCCUCCAACUAUACCACCCUGAAUACGCCCGAUCUCAUCUGAUCUCGGAAGCUAAACAGGUUUGGGCCUGGUCAGUACCUGGAUGGGCAACUGCCUGGGAACACCGGGUGUUGUAGGCU
rnacentral:rRNA from 1 species